AAAAAAAAAACUUUUAAUUUAUUAGAAACAUUUUUUGACCAUAAAGAGAGUGAUGAAAUCGACCUAUAUCCCUUUAUUUUUUAACUCGAUUUCAUUUUCCAAAUCAGAUUCUUCCCGGCGGCCCUGUCACCGUUUGUCCACCAAUAAUUCGUUGCUGUAUUCGACCUGAAUACCUUCAAUUUCUACCGCAUUCGCUCCACCACCUUUCUUGUUGCUGUGGAGAUCGAGACAAAUCCCAAGGUGGUUGGAGGUUUGCGUGUGGAAUCAGUUGGGGAACCUAUGGUUUCCAAUCGUCUGAUAGCGUCUAGCUUAGUUGCUUAUGUGAUAGUUGCAUUCUUGUUUGAUGUUACUGGUUGGAAGAGUUUGUUUUUGAAUCUCCUCGUAAUGUUCUUGGUUUAUUUUGGGUUUAAUCCGAACAACCGUCUUAAGUUGAAAAUGGAGUUCGCUAUUGUAAGAAGGAAGUACACAAAUGGAGAAGGAGAUAAUGAUGAUAACAACGGAAACCUACAUCGUAGAGCAGCUGGUACACCUGAUCAAGCUAACUGACUUUUUGAUCACUGCUACUGAUGAGGUUUUGCUUCUUUUGACUGCAUGGGGGUUUUGUUAUGAGACGGGGAUUUUAUUUUGUUGUAGUACUUAUUUUGGAUUAGGCUUUGAGUUUUUCCCCUGAUUUGUGUGUACUCUUGUGAUGCACAGUCUAAGUGGAAGCACCUGUGGAUCAGCUAAACUCUUUUAAACACCGAUGUUAAAAAUCUUCUGAUGAAUGCUUAUAAACUUUCACUGACUUUUGAAAUUUCUUGAUGAAUGUUGUAUAAAUUUUGAUUUUUAAUUUGAGAAAUGUCUGCUGGCAGUGUUUGUGGA